rnacentral:tRNA from 1 species
UCCAAGGUAGCUCAGGUGGUAGAGAAUCUGCCUGCAAUGCAGGAGACCCAGGUUCAAUCCCUGGGUUGGGAA